rnacentral:lncRNA from 1 species
UAAAGGUCAGAAUAAUGAUUUCUGUCCACUGCAGUGAAAUCUGGUUUGUUCCUUCCAAAGGAAACGGGAGCAGCAUCCCCUGGGCAGGAGCAUGAGCUGGUACCACACUGUGAUCUUGUGUCUGUAGCCCUGAGAUCCUCUAAGGGUGCCCCUAAAGUGGGACUGGACUGAACAUCCCCAGUGCCUGAACCAACUCAGCACAGAACAGCCCCACCUGAGCCCAGAAAGUGGAUUUGGGAUUGCCCUGAGCAGCUGCUGCUUCCCAGUGCCUGCUGAGGAACACGGAGAAGUGCACUUUUAACACCCAGCAACAGAGAGUGAGAGCUGCUGCUGCUCAGAAGGCACAGGUUCCAUCUUAUCUGGUGAGUUAAAAUGGGAUUUUAACCUGGACUUGGAAAAGUUCAUUGUACACCAGAAAACUUAAGAGAAUACCCUGUGGCAAAAUCCCUUCAAAAAGAUCUAGAAACAUGUUGUAAUAGAAACAGGCAGGACUUUUGUUUCUCUUGCAGGAAAGGUAUUUCUUUAUUUACAUAGCUCAUAUUUAUAGGAAAUAUCAGAAGACACUGUGUUAAAUCUAAUUGCUAACAAUACACUGACACUCAGUUCAUUGGUUGGCAAAUGGCAUUUUGUAUGUCUAUCAAAUUUCUGUGUUUCUAGAUUGUUUACAUAUUUUCUUCAUUGAUUCUCA